rnacentral:rRNA from 1 species
UACGAAGGGGGCUAGCGUUGCUCGGAAUCACUGGGCGUAAAGCGCACGUAGGCGGAUCGUUAAGUCAGGGGUGAAAUCCUGGAGCUCAACUCCAGAACUGCCUUCGAUACUGGCGAUCUAGAGUCCGGAAGAGGUGAGUGGAACUCCUAGUGUAGAGGUGGAAUUCGUAGAUAUUAGGAAGAACACCAGUGGCGAAGGCGACUCACUGGUCCGGUACUGACGCUGAGGUGCGAAAGCGUGGGGAGCAAACAGG